GGGGAAUAUUGGACAAUGGGGGGAACCCUGAUCCAGCCAUGCCGCGUGUGUGAAGAAGGUCUUCGGAUUGUAAAGCACUUUAAGUUGGGAGGAAGGGCUUACUAUUAAUACUAGUAAGUUUUGACGUUACCGACAGAAUAAGCACCGGCUAACUUCGUGCCAGCAGCCGCGGUAAUACGAAGGGUGCAAGCGUUAAUCGGAAUUACUGGGCGUAAAGCGCGCGUAGGUGGUUCAGGAAGUUAGGAGUGAAAGCCCCGGGCUCAACCAGGGAAUUGCUUCUAAAACUGCUGGGCUAGAGUACGGUAGAGGGUGGUGGAAUUUCCUGUGUAGCGGUGAAAUGCGUAGAUAUAGGGAGGAACAUCAGUGGCGAAGGCGACCACCUGGACUGAUACUGACACUGAGGUGCGAAAGCGUGGGGAGCAAAC
rnacentral:rRNA from 1 species